GUUCAAAUACGAUUAUAUUCUGGUUAACUUACAAAAUUAGGAGUUGAAAAAUUAUUUACUUCAUUAUAUUUGUUAUAGAUAUAUCAGUCCUUAUUUCCUAACAGUCUGAAAUAGCAGCCAAAUAUAGCUCCUGUAGAAGGUCAUCUUAGGUUUUCAGGUGACUUUUAAUUACCACGUAGCUUUAAACUACUACUAGUAACUCAUCGUUUAAAAAAAUUAAAUUAGCCUUUUAUUUCUGUAAAGAAAACUCACCUUUACUCUCCCUUUACUGUCCUGUAGGAAUUUUAACAGGACAUGCAUUAACUUUAGACCUUAGGGAAAGCACAAAAUAAACAGCAAACUGAUAAUAUUAUCUCGCCAAAGUAAAACAAGGGAUGGAGGCGUGGGGAGAGACGGCGGGCGGUAACUAAGUGCCAAACGGGAUUUGUUUUUACUUAAACGUUUACAGAGCAUCCGCGAGAACUUCCUUCUAAGCUAAAUAUGUCAUCUAGCACCUGAAAAAAUUUAAGUCUGGUUCUUUCUGGAUAAAAGAAAGCGCACAGGAUUUAAGCACUUUCUCUUCCCAACCACGUGGCUGCAGACUUCUUGCUCUCAAGUUGUCCUGACAUGCUCUGAGAGCACACACAACAUACAUACAACACCUGGAUCUGUGAAUUAAUUACUGCCUAGGCUACCACCAAGAAGCUUUCCAAGUGGCCAAGUGCAAGGAUCUUCUGUUUCUUAUCCAAGUACAUUCUUUCAUCACGGCCUUGGUCCAAGAAUUGACCCUUAACUAUGAAUUCCUGCUUCAUUUCCAUUUCACUCAGCCAUUUUAGAGCAGGAAAAAGCCAGAAGCAGGUGUCAGCCAGCAGGUGUGGCUCAUAAUUCAUAUUUUUCACAGAAGCAUCAUUUGGAGGGGAAAAAAUCUGUCUAAGCUGGUUUCAAAGUUAACUUAUUAGUAUAAAUUUUUUAAAAAAGAUAGGCCAGCCUGGGCAACAAAGUGAGACCCCUGUCUCUACAGGAAAAAAAAAAAAUUAGCUGGGUGUGGUGUUGCACACCUGUUGGCCCAACUACUCAGGAGGCUGAAGUGGGAGGAUCACUAGAGCCCAGGAGGUUGAGGCUACAGUGAGCUGUGAUCAGGCCACCGCACUCCAGCCUGGGCAACAGAGUAAGUCCCCAUCUCUAAAGAAAAAAAUAAAAAUAAAAUAAAAAAUUUGGGAGUGGCGAGGGUCAGUGUUUUUUCUUAUAAUACAU
rnacentral:lncRNA from 1 species